GAUGAACGCUGGCGGCGUGCCUAAUACAUGCAAGUCGAGCGAACGGACGAGAAGCUUGCUUCUCUGAUGUUAGCGGCGGACGGGUGAGUAACACGUGGAUAACCUACCUAUAAGACUGGGAUAACUUCGGGAAACCGUAGCUAAGACCGGAUAAUAUUUUGAACCGCAUGGUUCAAAAGUGAAAGACGGUCUUGCUGUCACUUAUAGAUGGAUCCGCGCUGCAUUAGCUAGUUGGUAAGGUAACGGCUUACCAAGGCAACGAUGCAUAGCCGACCUGAGAGGGUGAUCGGCCACACUGGAACUGAGACACGGUCCAGACACCUACGGGAGGCAGCAGUAGGGACUCUUCCGCAAUGGGCGAAAGCCUGACGGAGCAACGCGGCGUGAGUGAUGAAGGUCUUAGGCUCGUAAAACUCUGUUAUUAGGGAAGAACAUAUGUGUAAGUAACUGUGCACAUCUUGACGGUACCUAAUCAGAAAGCCACGGCUAACUACGUG
rnacentral:rRNA from 1 species